rnacentral:rRNA from 1 species
UGAGGAAUAUUGCGCAAUGGGGGAAACCCUGACGCAGCGACGCCGCGUGGAUGAUGAAGGCCUUCGGGUCGUAAAAUCCUGUCAAGUGGAAAGAAGUGCAUAUAUGCUAAUAUCAUGUAUGUUUGACGGUACCACUGAAGGAAGCACCGGCUAACUCCGUGCCAGCAGCCGCGGUAAUACGGAGGGUGCAAGCGUUGUUCGGAAUUACUGGGCGUAAAGCGCGCGUAGGCGGUUUGUUAAGUCAGAUGUGAAAGCCCAUGGCUCAACCAUGGACGUGCAUUUGAAACUGGCAGACAUGAGUAUUGGAGGGGGUGGUGGAAUUCCCGGUGUAGAGGUGAAAUUCGUAGAUAUCGGGAGGAAUAUCAGUGGCGAAGGCGACCACCUGGCCAAAUACUGACGCUAAGGUGCGAAAGCGUGGGGAGCAAACA